UACGUAGGCAGCAAGCGUUGUUCGGAAUUACUGGGCGUAAAGAGUGUGUAGGCGGUGCUCUAAGUUCGGUGUGAAAUCUCCCGGCUCAACUGGGAGGGUGCGCCGGAAACUGGAAUGCUUGAGCGUGGGAGAGGAAAGCGGAAUUCCUGGUGUAGAGGUGAAAUUCGUAGAUAUCGAGAAGAACACCGGUGGCGAAGGCGGCCAUCUGGACAGAUACUGACGCUGAGACGCGAAAGCGUGGGGAGCAAACAGG
rnacentral:rRNA from 1 species